GAACGCUGGCGGCGUGCCUAAUACAUGCCAGUCGAGCGAACGGACGAGAAGCUUGCUUCUCUGAUGUUAGCGGCGGACGGGUGAGUAACACGUGGAUAACCUACCUAUAAGACUGGGAUAACUUCGGGAAACCGGAGCUAAUACCGGAUAAUAUUUUGAACCGCAUGGUUCAAAAGUGAAAGACGGUCUUGCUGUCACUUAUAGAUGGAUCCGCGCUGCAUUAGCUAGUUGGUAAGGUAACGGCUUACCAAGGCAACGAUGCAUAGCCGACCUGAGAGGGUGAUCGGCCACACUGGAACUGAGACACGGUCCAGACUCCUACGGGAGGCAGCAGUAGGGAAUCUUCCGCAAUGGGCGAAAGCCUGACGGAGCAACGCCGCGUGAGUGAUGAAGGUCUUCGGAUCGUAAAACUCUGUUAUUAGGGAAGAACAUAUGUGUAAGUAACUGUGCACAUCUUGACGGUACCUAAUCAGAAAGCCACGGCUAACUACGUG
rnacentral:rRNA from 1 species